ACACCUCGGGGAGCCGUCGACCGGCUGAGAUGCGAAAGCGAACCCGUUGAACCUGAACCGGAUAACGCCGGCGGAGGGAAGGA
rnacentral:ncRNA from 1 species